GUUGUAUAUAGCUUUGAGGAUCGCGGUUCGAUAAGUUUAGAAGUUUUGCUGGAUUUUGCACAUAUAUAUCCCAUAAUAGUUGUGUAUUUUGCUGUCAACCGCUGGACAGUUGUUUCAAGAGAGAUUUGAGGAGGUUUGUAUGGCGAUUGGGCCCCAUUGGAGUAGAAAAAAUGCGCCGAAUU